UGAUGUUGGAGAACUACAGACACCUCCUCUUCCUGGGUCUCAUUGUGUCAAAGCCUGGUUUGGUCUCCUUUUUGGAGCAAAAGAAGGACCCUUGGGAUGUAAAGAGAAAGAAGACAGUGGUCUUUGAUCCAGCUGUAUCUUCACAGGGCACCCUGAGCUUCCUGCCAGAGCCAUGCAAAGAAGCUUCAUUUCAAAAUGUGUCAGUGGGUCGAUAUAAACAUACUGUCCUUGAGAAGUUAC